rnacentral:lncRNA from 10 species
CAGUAUUCCAGCAGUGAGCAAAACAGACAAAUCUUAUUUUCCUGAACUUAGAGUCUUGUUGGGGGAAACAGAUAUCAAUAUAUCACUUAACAUUUUAGACAUUCUCGGAUAGAAGUCUGUUCAGGGCACCUUGAGGACACAAAGGAGAGCAGGGUCACUUCUGCCAGGUCAUUUGUUGGCAGGAAAGAUUUGCUAUGAGCUGAGUCUUUACAGAUGAGGAAGUAUCCUUCAGGUCAAUAGGGAAAUGUACUUGCCAGGUCCAGGGAGCAGGAUGGGCAAAGGCAUAGAGAUGGGAUACAGUCUGGGGUAUUCAGGGAACUGCCAACCCUUACGUAUGGCUGAAAGUUAAGUUGGAUGAUGAAUUUGACUGCAUCCAUGAAAAAAAAAAAAACCGAGCUAGAGCUUUACCAGUUUACCUAGAAAGAUUUCUGGGAGAGAUUUCUGAGUGAGGAAAGUAAUGUGCAGAAAUUGUAUACAUUUUUCCCAGCACCAUUUAUUAAAUAGGGAAUCCUUUCCCCAAAAGCCCUGAAAACUCUCAAU